rnacentral:rRNA from 1 species
GAAAUGCGAUACGUAAUGCGAUUUGCAUAUCUUCGUGAAUCAUCAAAAUUUUGAACGCACAUUGCGAUCCCGGGAUAUUCCUGGGAUCAUACUUAUUUGAUUGUCCGUAAACCCCACUCAACCUAUCUAGUGUUGGAAUAUGGCAUCGUCUGGGAUAUAUUUUAUAUAUCAUGGACCUUGCUUAAGUUUGUGGCCAUAUGCAGUUAAUUGUUUAUUUUCUGAACGAUUGCAUCCAAAUCUGGUAGGUGCCUAGUGUACUUGUUAGGAUUGGUAGUGAUUAACUAAGUGAAGAGGCUUUUUUCUGUGGUCUGAUCAAAUCACAUCACCCUGUGGUUAGAUACACAUAAACAUUAAAAUCGGAUAUCAGACUAAGUAAGACUACCCGCUGAAUUUAAGCAUAUAAUUAAGCGGAGGAAAAGAAACUAACCAGGAUUCCUCU